rnacentral:rRNA from 1 species
GACGAACGCUGGCGGCGUGCUUAACACAUGCAAGUCGAACGGAAAGGCCCUGCUUUUGUGGGUUGCUCGAUUGGCGAACGGGGGAGUAACACGUGAGUAACCUGCCCUUAACUGUGGGAGAACUUCAGGGAACUGGGGCGAAUACCGGGUAGGAUCUCCUGCUGCAUGUUGGGGGUUGGAAAGUGUCGGCGGUUGGGGAUGGACUCGCGGCUUAUCAGCUUGUUGGUGUGGUAGGGGCUUACCAGGGCUUUGACGGGUAGCCGGCCUGAGAGGGUGAACGGCCACAUUGGGACUGAGAUACGGCGCAGAAUCGUACGGGAGGCAGCAGUGGGGAAUAUUGCAGAAUGGGCGGAAGCCUGAUGCAGCAACGCCGCGUGCGGGAUGCCGGCCUUCGGGUUGUAAACCGAUUUCGCCUGUGACGAAGAGUGAGUGACGGUACUGAGUCAAGAAGCCACGGCUAACUACGUG